GACGAACGCUGGCGGCGUGCUUAACACAUGCAAGUCGAACGGAAAGGCCCUGCUCUUGUGGGGUGCUCGAGUGGCGAACGGGUGAGUAACACGUGAGUAACCUGCCCUUGACUUUGGGAUAACUUCAGGAAAAUGGGGCGAAUACCGGAUAGGAGCUCCUGCUGCAUGGUGGGGGUUGGAAAGUUUCGGCGGUGGGGGAUGGACUCGCGGCUUAUCAGCUUGUUGGUGGGGUAGUUGCUUACCAAGGCUUUGACGGGUAGGCGGCCUGAGAGGGUGACCGGCCACAUUGGGACUGCGGUACGGCCCAGACUCCUACGGGAGGCAGCAGUGGGGAAUCUUGCACAAUGGGCGGAAGCCUGAUGCAGCAACGCCGCGUGCGGGAUGACGGCCUUCGGGUUGUAAACCGCUUUCGCCUGUGACGAAGCGUGAGUGACGGUAAUGGGUAAAGAAGCACCGGCUAACUACGUG
rnacentral:rRNA from 1 species